CGCGUACGAGUUUGAUCAGUCGGCUACAGGACGAACGCUGGCGGCGUGCCUAACACAUGCAAGUCGAACGGGACUGAUUGGAAAGCGGCUUCGGCCAAUGGAAGAUCGGUUUAGUGGCGAACGGGUGAGUAACACGUGAGGAACCUGCCUUUCAGUGGGGGACAACAGUUGGAAACGACUGCUAAUACCGCAUAAUGUACUAUAGGGGCAUCCCUUAAGUACCAAAGCUUUAUGUGCUGAAAGAUGGCCUCGCGUCUGAUUAGAUAGUUGGUGGGGUAACGGCCUACCAAGUCAACGAUCAGUAGCCGGUCUGAGAGGAUGAACGGCCACAUUGGGACUGAGAUACGGCCCAGACUCCUACGGGAGGCAGCAGUGGGGAAUAUUGGGCAAUGGACGCAAGUCUGACCCAGCAACGCCGCGUGAAGGAAGAAGGCUUUCGGGUUGUAAACUUCUUUUAUCAGGGAAGAGUAGAAGACGGUACCUGAUGAAUAAGCCACGGCUAACUACGUG
rnacentral:rRNA from 1 species